rnacentral:lncRNA from 1 species
GAGUUGUAGCGAGCUAGCUCUGCCCGGGUGAGCUUUUCCAUUCGCUCAGCCCGAGUGAGCGAAUGUUCUAGGUUUUCAGCGCUCCUGGUGGCAGUUUCAGCAAUCGCAACUGUAAAUACUCUACAGUCAAUGGCUUUGGGGUAAAAAGAAGAAAAAAUCCCGUAGGAGUUUUGACAUAUGGAAAUUUGGGUGGUACCCAUAAUGUUUCAAGAAAACCUUGGACUCGGAAAUCUAAUUCGUCCCUUGCAGCUACCAUCCCUACACAGGAAGCUGAGCUUCAUGGAACAUCACUCAUGAACGAAGAAUGUUCAGGUAACAUCCCACAUGCUCUAGAGGAAACUGAAUCUCCAUCAUCUUCACCAGCAAAGGAAAGUGAGCUUCGAUCACCUUCACCACCAAUCGUGGAAAGUUCACUCAUGGACCAUGAUGAUUUUCACAGUGCUUUAGAGCAGAAUGUUUUACAAGAAUUCAACAACGUUCACUUCACGUCCAAAAACUUAACGCAGAAACCAAUGUGUAAAGAAACUGCUUUUGAAUCAUGGAAAUCCAAACAAGAAAUCGUUUAUGGAUCUCUAGUGGAUUCAUAAACAGCAAACCAGAAUCUUUGUGGCCUUUGCAAGGCAAUUUCUGGAUAUGGAAUCAUCAAAUGUAAGGACUGUUGCAAUUACCUCUGUUUUAGUUGUGACAGAAAGCGGCAUUCGUACGAUCCAUCCCAUCAAAGGAUGUAUUUUAAGACAGAUUCAUCUUUCAAAUCAUUGCUUCCUAAUGAAUUUAUCACUUCUCGUGGAGAAGUCGUCGAGCAACGGGUUCAUGUGCCGCUUUUUCCUCCCCCGAUUUGCACCGAAUGUGAUAGCCGGGAAACAAGUUGCCUCAUCGCAAGCUCAAAAUCAUGCUACGUAGUCACCAGAAAAGGUAGAUUGGACUUAAACUUACCAGUGUUCCAUUGCCAAAACUGCGAAAAGUCAACUUUCCCUACCGUAGAAGAUUACAUUUCAUCCGGAUUUUGGCCUGGGACGCCAGAGCGAUUUACCGUCUUGUUUCAUCAGGAUGUUUUGGAAUUCUGGCAUCAUCUCAGGCUUCUGACGAAGAAUGUUGUGUCUAUCAUGUUACGUGUAGUUUUUUUUCCAUCGCUACAAAGAAUAAAACAAUUUGAACCGA